UUCAGAUUUAUCUUUCCUUUUUUUUUCCCCUACAGACUACUGUUGGUUUGAUGGAUAGACCCAUAUCCAUGUCAUUCUUGCUAUCCUAGAAUGUUUUAGGUACUUUAAUUCACAUGAUUUUGAUAAAUGAUUCAUGUUAGUAAUAUAAAACUAGUUGCAGUUACGAGCAUGGUUGUGAAAUUGGUUGCAUUUCUCUUUUCUUCUACUUUAGUACAUACUAAAUCGGCAAAAACAUAUGGACAACCCAGCAAUAGGUCGUUUAUAAAUGGGUCCCUUCGCUUCUGUCUUUUGGAUCUCAACAGUUGUAUUGUUUUAUUUCAGAGUACUCAAAUCUCUAACAUUUUUUAUGGAAUGUUCCGCCACUUUAGAGACUAUUAGAAUGUUCCGCCACUUUAGAGACUAUUCUACAUCUCCUUCAGAGAGAAACAUUAAGUAAACAGAAUCCCUGAUGUAAUUCAAAUUACACGUUCGUUGAGAGUAAAAAUACUAAAAGAAUUUGAAGUUCUGGGCUUUUUCCCAAUGACCUAUAGUAUGGUGGGUGUCUAUAUCUUUUUGCCUGGUAAGUAGCAGUGACUGUUGUGUUUGAAAAUGAAUGUUCUUUAAGCUUGAACUGAGAUUUAAUAGUGCAAGUGCAUUGUCAUCUGAUGCUACACGCAAAUUAUCUUCUAUGAAAUAGAGAAAUGUGGAACAUACAAAGAAACCAUUGAGUAGAUGCAGUAGCCUUCUAAGUAUGAUUGGCAUUAGUUCAACUUGUCCCAAGCAACUGGCACAUAGCGAGAUUGAAGUAUCAGAGAUUGAGGGCUCUUCUAUGAUGCACAUGUGUAAUAUCAGCUUGCCAUUUGCCGGUAAGUGAAUUCUUUUGAGUAAGUAGCAUUUGAUAUGACUAAUUUUCGUCCGGUACAUUAUUUUCGUCAGAUGAGGUAAUUCAAAUCAGGUUAUUAUUCAGAAAAUUUUCUGGGCAGCUGACACUUGCCAAAUGUAUGAGUAGUCCCUUUAAAAUCAUAAUAUAGUGACUUUAUUGCUGUAUUUUUCACUUGAGCAUUUUAGUCCCUGAACUCUUUACAUUUUAGUCUUUUAUUCUAUGAAGCCGCUUUAUUUCGGUGAGUAACCAAAACAGUAACUCAUAUUGUACCAGAGAAACCACCCAUGUAUGACAAGUAAUUAUUACUGUUAUUACCAUUUUUUUUUUUUGCUGAAACAUUGAAUUUGGUUUCGGUUAGUGAAAUAUGAAUACCUAGCUGAUCAUACUACAUUAUGUUAUUCAAUUUCUUGUUCUGAUAUUUUUGAAUUCUAUCCUUCUGGUUGUGACGGCAGUGCCGAAAUCAAGUAAGAGUGGCAUGUGGAUGGGCCCUAGAAUCAGAAUGUCUCUUCCGAGUUUCAGGUUAGGUUAUAACAUAGACGCAGAAUCAGGUUCUUAACAAAGCUUUUUCUUUUGCUAGAGGAUGACUUUAACUAUGGAAAUUUCAGCGGCCAAACGGAAUACAAUUCUCACCUUCUAAAGUACGCCUGCCAAAUGGAAUGCAGGUACGAAGAAACUAAAUCAUUUCGAACAUUUACACUCAAAUGUAAAUAACUUUUGCUUAUGAUUUAUCUUUUACACAGUUCAGUGCUUCUUGGUGGUUUCCGUUUAUAGUUGCUAAUCUGUUUCGGAAGAGUGGCAAAAUUAGCUUGUUUAAUGUUUCAAAAAAAAUUUUAAAAAAACUUGUAGGCAUGUACUUGAAAAAGUUUUCUUUUCAAGGUGACUCUACAGAUACAAAUUUUUUUUUUUCUGUUACUUUUCCCUCCAGAUCAUCUUUCUGGCUAUUUGUAUACUCUAUGGUGAUUUACUAUCUUGUUUCUGCUUGUAGUACUUAACUAUCCUGUUACUAUGACUCUAAAAGAUGAAAAUUGUUUUACAAGUUUAUAUUUGAGUAAAUUGAAAUAUGGAAAUUCGUAUAUAUGAUUACCUGCUAAAGGUGAAUUUCUGUACCGACUAUGCUAGCACUUGGCAUCUAAUUUGAUCUCUCUCUUCUAUCUACUCUUGUUGUAUACUUUAUAUGUUCUUUUUCCCUACGCAGUGUACGAGCAGUAAAAGCUGCUAAAGUAUCGAGCCCGGCUACUAAAGACACUCAUAAGCAUUCUCGAGACGCUCACUCUGAUUACAGCAAUCAAGAUACCAGUCUUUUAGCGGAAGAUAAUGCAUGGAAUCGAAGCAUAUCGGUGUUAUUGUCGAAGCCCAUCUUGGCUUUGGAGUUCAACCUUCUAAAGAUGCAGGUCGAAGCUCCGAAGUUCGUGGUUCCUGACUCGAAGAAGAGUCAAGUUCGAUAUUCGAGUGCCUAGUUAUAUCCUCUGGACAUUUACCUAUCUAGAUAUAUGUCUUUGGGAAUAACUUUUAGGUUUCGCUUCUGAUUAUUCGGUGUUUUUGUCUCCAAAUGUGAGAUUGCUACUUGUAAGAUGUCGAAAAGUAUUUCAAGUGCAAAUAUGCAUGCAAAUUUCAGUUUCAAGCUGCUUAUUCAGAUCUGCUACAUACUCAACAGAAGCCACAAGCACUUAUUGGUAAAAGCAGCAAGGAAUGAUCAAGUAAAGAUCAAGCAUAGGCUUCUGCAAUGUCCAUGAGAUACUGGGACAGCUCCUCCGGCGUCGACAGCAUCGCCAUGUGGUCAGCGUUUUUGAUCGUCUUCACCUCUUUUACCGGGCUUUUCGCGAUCAUGNCUUCCUCCUCACACCGCGCUCUUAUAUAUAUAUAUAUAUAUAUAUAUAUAUAUAUAUAUAUAUAUAUAUAUAUAUAUAUAUAUAUAUAUAUAUAUGCAUGCAAGUAACCAAAUUGUUAGCUUUAUUGGGAAAAAUAAAAUUGUUUGGUAAAAGCUUAUAUUAGGCUUGAACAAACACUUUCAAAAACUUUAAACCAUUUCCUCUGAAAUUCAAGCUCCUAGAUGACAGUUUUUUUUUUAUAUUUUAUUCAGCAACUUGCAAAAAAAAUUUUGUUGAACAUUUUUUAGAUAAUUUCUCGCGAAACUUAGGGGUGUUUGGUUACUCAAAAAAAGCGUGAAAAACCUUUCUUUGGAGAAAUUUUUUUCUGUAGAAACAUUCUUUUUCACAGUUCUUAUUUUCUGGAUAAAAACAUGGAAAACAAAAACAGUACUUUUCCGUAAAAUCUAAAAAAGAACUUUUUUGGAAAAUAUAUUUUUUUUAUUUUUUUUUUAACGGUAAGACAUUCAAUGAUGAUCGGCACCGUUAAAUAUAAUCUAGACCGUUUGAAAAUUUUAGUAAAUUUUAUAAUUUCAUAAUAUCAUUUAUUCAGUGAUCAAGUGGUCUGAAAUUUUUAUAAAAAAUUAGUCAUUAAAAGCAUGUUGAUUUUGAGACCACUCGAACCAUGAGAAAAUAACAAUAUCGAUCGUGGAUUCAGACACCGAAUCCCCGAAAACAAUGCAGAACUAAACGACUCCGUUUUCUUCGGGAAACAUUUUUAGCUCCUGCUGUGCAAAUUAACUACAUUUUUAGCACACCAAACAAUUAAUUAAGUAAUUAAUUAAUUACCUCAGGUGAGCAGAGUUGGUAGAGCCUUGAUUUGAGAAACUGAGGGCCAAACAACAUGGUCGUUGGUCGAUUUGAAUACGAUUUAAACACCGUGUCCAUCCAAUAUGAUCCAGAUGCUUUGCUCAACUAUUUAAAUUAGUACAAUAAAUAGUUAAUUAAACUAAUUAAUUACUUAACCAUGUUAAUAUUAAUAGGUUAAAUUGCAAAAAAAAUAUUUUGUGCGCUUUAGCUUAUGUCUUAAUCAUCCCCUGCGAUAAAAAAUUUGAGGGUAAUUGUUGUAUUCAAUCACAAAACUUUACUAAUAUACUACAAACUUGUAUCUGCAAAAUUUUUCUAUUUAAUUCAACAGUUUUCUUUAAAUUUUGUAUUUUUAGCCAUUCAUCAAAUAUAAUGCAGUUUUAAUUAAUAACUCUAAUUAAUGCACAACUGUUUGCUAUUGUAAAUUAAUGCACAACAACAGAAUUAGAAUUAGAAUAAUCCAAUAUUAUUUUUUUUUCUCUUUUUUUUACACUCGGAGAGAGAAAAUAUUCUGCGCUAGGUCGCUACAAAAGAAAUAUUGUGACUUUCUAUUACACUAAAUUUCUUAUCUUUAUAAAAUAAAAAAAAUAUUUAGGUAAAAACAUAUGAAAUUUAUCUGAAUUAUAAACUAUUUUAAAUCGAUCAACCAACCAAAUUUUCAAAAUUUGAUCUUACUAGCCAUCUUUUCUACUUUGUUUGAUUCAAGUUAAUCAAUAAUACUUUAACUUUAAAAUCCAAAUGCGCUGUUUUUCUUUAUAAGUUUAAUUAAUAUAUUUCAUGCAACUCUCAUAAUUAUAAAUUUAUUAAACUAAAAAAUUAAUUUAAAUUUUAAAUUGAAAGUAUUAUUAACUGACUUAAAUUAAAGGGGAAACUUCAAAUACCCCUCGUGUGGUUACGUAUUUUUUCACUUUAGUACCCUGUGGUUUAAAGUGUAUCAAGUUAGUACUCUUUGGUUUCGUACUUUCUCACUUUAGUACCCUGUGGUUUCUAGUGUAUUAAGUUAGUCUCCUAUGGUUUCGCAUUUUCUCACUUUAGUACCCUAUGGUUUAAUAUAUUUUUAAAAUUAUUUAUCCUGAAAUGGAUAAUAAAAAGAGAAAAUUAAAACCACAAGGUACUAACUUGAUACAAAAAUAAAACAAUAGGGUACUAACUUGAUACACUUGAAACUAUAGGGUACUAACUUGAUACACUCGAUAUUAUAGGGUACUAAAGUGAGAAAGUGCGAAAUCGCAGGGUACUAACUUGAUACACUUUAAACCACAUGGUAUUAAAGUGAGAAAGUGCGAAACCACAGGGGGAGUAUUUGAACUUUUUCCUAAAUUAAAUAAGGGAAAACUACAAAAGCCCCCCUGUGGUUUAAAAUGUAUCAAUUUGCCCCCAUGUGGUUUCUUUUUUCUCUUUUUCUUAUCAAUUUCAUAAAUUUUUUUUAAAUCAGUGAUAAAGUUAAAAAUUAAAGAGUACUAAAGUGAAUAUUUGAUAAAUCUAGAUGGAUAUCUGAAGUUUUUUAUAUAUAAUUUAAUAAAAUAUUAACGAAAAAGCUACCGAAAAGAUAAAAACGAAACCACAGGAGGGGCAAUUUGAUACAUUUUAAACCACAGGGGGGCAAAAUGAGAAACUACGAAAUCACGGGGAUUUUUGAAGUUUUCCCAUUAAAUAAAUAGUAAAAUUAGAUUUGUGAUACACCGCAUAAAAAAUUCAAAAUCAUCUAUUGACAAAUUUUAUAUAUUUAUUUUUUUUUAUCUAUUUAAGAACUAUAAUAAGUCGAUACUACUAUUUUACUGAAUAGAAGGACAAUACAACCAAUGGAUUUAUUGUAGUCUAGUAUUUUUUUUAUUCUGCAUUAAUUGUUAAGUGGUUUCUUCGUUGGUACUUCAAUUAAAUUAAAUUAAUUAAUCCGUUAAAUUUAGUUUAAAAGGGGUGCGUGGAUCUAGUUCCUGAAAAAUUUAUGGCGCGAAAGUACAGAACUUAUUUCAACUAUAAGCUUUUUGAAUUUGAUUAUUUAAAUUUUUAAAAUUUUAUUUUUAUUAUAAAUUUAAAGAUUAGAUAAUAAAAUUAAAUUUUUAAAAUUUUUUAGACGAAUGAGCUGAAAGAUCUAAUCUAGGGAAAAAUGCUACAGUGUAGCAGUUACAUCGCAUUAUCUAUUUUCAGCCAAUCAAAACUCUCAAUUUUACGAAAAAGUAUAAUAAAAAUAUUUUUUAAAAGAAUUAUAAUAAAUUAGAUGAAUUCUAAAAAUAUAAUUUGAUUAGUUGAAGAUAGGUUCGAAAGUCAGAUUGUGUUCGGCUCAAAAUGAGCUCGAGACCGAAUCGCUCGUUUAGUAAACGNACUCUAUAAAUAUAUAUAUAUAUAUAUAUAUAUAUAUAUAUAUAUAUAUAUAUUGUGUAGAGUUACUAUGCUAUCGGAAGUAUAGAGAAUCUGGUAUUUCUGACUUUUUGAUAUUUUGAUAAAAAAUUAUACGGUUGGGAUGAUUGCGGUCCCCCCUAGGGGCUAGGGUUUAAUAGUAUUCCUAGAGUUGAGUGGUCUCUAUAGGAUAAUAGUAUUAAUUUAAAGAUUAGAAAUAAUCCAAGGGAUUGAUUUAAGAGCCAAAAAGUCGAAAGUAUCGGAUUCUCUAUGCUUCCGAUAGGAUAGCAGCUCUACUCAUAUCAUAUUCAUAUAUAAAUAAGUAAUUAUAUAUAUAAUACGAAUUUUUAUCAUUUAAUUUUUACCCCAAUUUAAAUAUAAAGUCAGACUCAACUAUUAAAAAAAUCAAUAUAUAUAUAUAUAUAAAAUUUUAACCACUAUAUCAAAAUCUAAUGCAUAAGAUUUCAUAAAUUUAUUUUUUGUAUAUAUAUAUAUUCUUUCUAAUUCUUUUAACUCGUUAUUUGUAAGCCAGCUCGUGUUCGGCUUGUUUAUUAACGAGUCGUGUUAAACGAGCCAAACACGAAUUGAAUUUUUUAGCUCGAUAUUUUAAUGAAUCAGUUUGCAUUCAGCUCGUUUACAGAAGCGGAUUCAACUCGCUCGUGUCCGGCUCGUUAACAAUCCUACAUGGCUGUCGUAUUUUUAACUUUGUUUUUAUUUUUUAUUUUGGCUAAAUUACAGAAAACCCCUCUAUAAUAAUCUGCUUUUUCACUUUCCCCUCCUGACAUUUAAAAACCUACACUUUGCCUCCUUAUAAAAUGAAAAAUAUUCACAGGGGGGUUACGGUGUGUAAAAUGACCAUUUUGCCCCUCGCCAUUGUCGUCUUCUUUCCCAUCUUUCUCAGCCGCCCCUUCGUUCGGCCGCGAUUCCCACUUCAAUCGGCUGCAAUUUCUCUCCAUUUUUUUCUCCACCUGCUUUCCUUCCCCUCCUGCACCCUCGUCGCCCUCGAUUUCGGCGACAGUAGGAGAAAACCGAGGUGGGCGACAGUAAGAGAAGGGCAAAGAAGGCGAAGGCGAAGGCGAGGCGGCGGAGGACGGCGAAGGGGAUGUGGGUGAGGGCGAGGCAGUGGAGGACGACGAGGCGGCUAGGCGGCGAGAUGGCAAGCCGGAGGGAGUCAAAGCAACAGGGAGAUGGCGGAGGGGUAUUUUCGGCAUAAAAAUAUAUUUUUUAACUGAACCCUAACGGAACCCUAACGGUAGGAGGUGAAGUGUACAUUUUUUAUUUUACAGGAGGGUAAAAUAUAGAUUUUUAAAUGUCAAGAAGAAAAAGUAAAAAAGCGAGUUAUUAUAAGUGAGUUUUCUGUAAUUUAGCUAUUUAUUUUUUAUCAAAUGAGUAGUACAAAAGAAGUACUGCCUUGAAAAGUGGGUAAAAAGUGUAUGACAUACGAGAGUUAGGGGGUUUGCAUGCAACAUGACUUUGAAAGUAGGCACCAAACUACCAAAGAGGAGGCACGUGACCAACUACCUCAGCGGAUCUAGCUUGUUGGUACGAGGUAACAGUAUAAAAGAUUUUAAGGUAAACUUUAAAUAUUAUCUCUGUAAUUUUAUAUUUUUUUUACUCUAAUUUUUUAUUAUUUAAAGUGUAUCAAUUUAGUAUCAUAUGUUUUUUUUUUUGUCAGCUUUUUUAUUAAUAUUUUGUUAAAUUAUAUAAAAAAAAUUUUAAAUAUCCCACCUAAAUUUAUUAAAUAUUUAUUUUAGUAUUUUUUAGUUUUAAUUUUGUCACUGAUUUAACGAAAAAAAAAUUAAUGAAGAGAAUAAUAAAGAGAGAAAAAUGAAACCAUGGGUACUAAAUAAAUAUACUUUAAACCACAUAGUACUGAAAUUAAAAAAUGCGAAACUAUAGAGGUGGUAUUUAAAAUUUUUUCAAAAUUUUAUGUCAGAAACUAUAUUCUUCUCUAAUUUUAUAUCCUUCAAUUAAAAUUUUUUUAUUAAUUAGCGAAGGUUCACAGCAAAGUAAAUUUUUUUAAAAAAAUCAUAAAAAUAGAGAAGAGUAGUGGGUUUCACAAUAAGGCUAGGCUUUUGAUUUUGAUUUUGAAAAAAAAUAUUAGGUAAAUAUUUGUACAUUUGUUUCUUCAUAUAAUAUAAUAUAAUAUAAUAUAAUAUGUAGAUAUAGAAAAUUAUAGAAUCACAUAAAUCAGUCUCUUUAUUUUGUAUUUAUUUUUUUUUAUCACUUGAUUUUUUUUUUGUUUUCGUGUAUUUGGGUUGCUAGCGCAUAAAAAACAAAUUUGCAAGUUUCUAAUAUUAAAUUCUCCAAAAUAAUUGUAAAAACUGAUCAAUUUGGCUCAACAGUAAUUUUUUUAUAAAAAAUUGCUCAUAUAGAUAUUGUUAAAUUAUAUGAAUAACUAUUAUUCUCUAAAAAAGUUAAACUUGUUGAAAAUAAUAUUUUUAUUUUUUAAUAUUUAAUAUAUGGACUUUAAUUAAAUGAGAACAUAAAUUAACUUGAAGCUUUUAUUUGGAGAUUCUACAAUCUUUCCAACAUUUUUUUUAGAGAGAAAUAAAUAAUACGCUAUCUGUUUCGUUUAUUUUAUUUAGAAAUAAAUUUAGCUGAAAAUAUAAAUCAAUUAGAAUUCAAAUUCGAAAUCUCAGAUACCGAUCACUGAACUCUUUGUCACUUACGCUAAGAAUGAUCGAUUCUUUCAAACUUUUUUUCAAUUUUAGAAAUCUAAGCGUACAUGCUUUUCAGAAUAGAAAAGUUGUUUUAUAAGCCAAGCCAAAGUAAGAAUAUCGUACCUCAUCAUAGACGGACGAAGGCGGCGAGGUCCAAUCGGGCCUGAACGCCGUCACGAAGACGGCGGCGGCGACUUUCUCGGGAAACUUCUCCAUGGCCAAAGCUAUGUUCAGGCCACCGAGGCUGUGGCCUACUAUGAUCACCCUCUCACCAUCAGGAAGGGAUCUUAGGAUCUCCAUCAACGGCUCGGAGUAUUCGGCGAAGGUGCGCACCUCGUCGAUCUGCCGAGGGUCGAUACCGGAGGCGGCGAGGUCCGGUACGGUGACCCGGUAACCCGAUAACCGGAGCCGCGUCGUGACCUUGUACCAGCACCAGGCUCCUUGGCCUGCUCCAUGCACAAGAACUACGUGCUUGUUGGUAUUGUUGUUCUUCGAGUUCUCCAUCUUUCUUUUUUUUUUUCUAUCUAACGAGAUUAUAUAUAUAUAUAUAUAUAUAUAUAUAUAUAUAUAUAUGAAAAUUAAGGUCUUAGAGGUGUCCCAGGGCUCCAAUAUAUAUCGAUGGAAUGAGAAUACACAUCCACUCAUAAAUGCUUUAUAUAAAUGCACAGCUACUUAUUAAGUAGGUAUUGGUGAGCCAAAAUAAUUGAAAUGUGCUUACGCAUAUGAUGACCAAAUGGUAGGUAUAUGUAUAUAUAUUGUUUGCAACUUUGGAUCAUCUAUGUAGAAGGUUAAAUAAAAAAAGGUAAAAAAAAAGGAAAAAAAAAAGAAAAAGACUUUAUUGCACGCACCAUUGGGAUUUUUUUCCACUUUAACUCUUUAAAAAUUUAUAAUUAGUCAAAUAAUCUUGUAAAAUAUUUAUUAAUUUGUUGAAAUAAUUCUAUUUUAUUCAACUCAUUAUUGGGGUACAAAAAUAAUUGAAAAAUGAUCAUUUUCAGGGAAUAAAAAUAAUUAAAAGAGUACAGUCAAUUAUUUACUGUUUUUUAUAAAUUUUAAAAAACGAUAAAUGAUUCACCGUCUUUUUUUUUCAUUAGAGAUGAUAAAUAAUUCACGGUCUUUCUCUUAAAAUACAAAACAAUGAAUGAUUUGUUGUUUGUUUCUAUUUCCAUAUAUAAUCUUAACAAUCAUAUAAUGAUUUCAAUUUUUUUUUUAAUUUUUAUACAAUUUCAAAAAAGAUAUAAAUUUUCUGAAGGCGUUGAAUGAUUCACCGUGUCUUUCAGAUUAAUUAGUUAGCUAAAUAAAUUAGUUGGGUCUCUUAUACUCGAAAUCAGAACUCUUUUUCCAUCCGUUAUGAAACUAUUAGGUUAAUUAUUACACAAUUAAAUUUCUAAGCUUUACUUAUUUAUUUUUCAAUUAAGUUGUUACCACGAAAAAUACCUUUGAUUCAAAUUGAAAUUACGACGUGGCUUGGUUUAUUGCUGUUGUGGUACUAACAUGAUAAAUAUUAGCUGAUGCUAAUAUGCCAGUUUUUGCUUGAGUUAAUUAAUGGUGUUCUUAGCAACAAUUAAAACUUAAUUACGAAAAAAGCGAAAGAAAAGAAGUGACAAAAAAAUAAAUACACCGAGCUAAAAAUAGCCGUUCUUUCACCAUAUGUAACACAGUCAACAAUAUGAAUCUUAAUAGGAUAAAAAAUUUUAUAUUAUAAUUUACAUGCCAAUUAAAUAUUGUCAUAAAAUAUUAGAGUUAUUUUAUCAACGUUGUCAAAACUGUCACUAUAGGAUGAUUCAUUUAUUGAAAUAAAAUGUCAUUAUAUGAUUGAUUUAGUGCAUAAGUUGGGACAAAAAUUUGCUGGGCAGCGUGCCCAAACUAAUUAGUUUGGGCACGCUGCCGGAUGGGCGCCCAAAACAAAAUGGUGGAAUAGCAAAUUUCUUACUAUUCCGGAUGUAAUACUGGUGCGAAGUGGCCAAGGUAGGGAUGUUAAUGGGUAUGGAUACCCGAAAUUUUUUUCGAACCCGAACCCGAAUGAAACGGAUAUAUCCGAUGGAUAUGAAUAUGGAUUCGGAUAUGGAUAUAAAAAAUAGAAACCUGACGGAUAUAGAUUCGGAUAUGGAUUUUGAUUGUAUCCGAUCCGAACCCGAACCCGACCCGAACCCGAAUUUAUUUUGUAUUAUAUAUAAUAUAUAUAUAUAUAAAUUUGAUGUUAUAUUUGAAUUUGUAUUUUAAAAAAUUAGAUUUAAUAUAAUAUAUUUUGAAAUAUUGAAAAAAAAAUAAAUAUUUCGGGUUCAAAUUUUUGGGUUCGGAUUCGGGUUCGGAUUUCGAAUUUUUAGUCAGGUUCGGGUUUGGAUAUGGAUUUUUAAAAUCAGUCGGAUUCGGGUACGGGUUCGAGUCUCGGGUUUGGAAUCGGGUUCGGGUUCGGGUUUUUAAAAAUCCGCCCCGAAUCCGACCCGUUGACAUCUCUAGGCCAAGGUAAGGGAGUACUGGAGAUCUCUAGAUCCUUCCGGAAUUGGGUUACCGCAUUUAUUUGCGCUGUUGAAUCCGAUCCGUUACGCCCUAGAGCGGAGCCGAGGCCCAAGUGGAUACGUGGUCCGACCAGGCCCAUGUUGACUUUUGCUUACUUGCAUUUAGCCCCAGAAUGUUCUACAAUUUGCAAUUUAAUCCUUAGGGUACUAGUAUAAAUAAGGGCAUUGUAAUAAUCCCGAUCAUCAUCGUCGCCAUCCGAGCCUCAGAGAGAUCUCAUCCUCAGCGGUUGCGACUUGCGACUCCGAUCGGGUUAAUCUCUUGUUUUGGAUCGAUCAAUGCGAUAUUGAUCUCCAUUCCUGGCAACAGCUGCGAAAUUCCCUUGAUCCUGAUCAACUGCUUGAUCAACAUGGCAACAGUAAUAGCUUGAAACUCAAGCAUUACACCGGAAUAACCGAGAAUAGUAAGAUUUGAUCGGGAUAAAAUAUUUCGGUCAAAUUUCACUCCGUUUGGCGGAAUAGCGGGGAUAACUUUCGUUAUCUCCGCUUAUCCCCUGAACCAAACGGAGGGCACCGUUUGGAUCGAGGAUAAGGGGAGGUAUAACCGCUUAUCUCCCCUUUAUACUCAAAUACAAAUUUUUUAUUCGAGAAUAGUAGUUUUCGAGUAGCUGAAAUAAGUUGGCAUAACUAUUUCCAUCAACACUUUUAUUUUCUAUAUAUAACUAUCUACUAUUUUUCUUAUUCCAUAUUAUCUAUCCAAACGCCAUUUUUUUUAUUCUCGGAAAUAACCUAAUUUUCAUCCAAACGUUAUUUUUUUUUAUUCCCAUACUUGUAUCUAUUCCUGUAAUAAGUAGUUCUUGCUUGUACCCGAACCAAACAGUGCUUUUAGUCUAUAGCUGUAAAGUUUGAGUGCAUGUAAGCAUCAGUAUGUAGCAUCAGACUUGCUUAAAUGUUUCGUCUGAAUGGAAAUAAUAGAAGAGAAAAAAAAGGGAAACGAAAGAAAAAAAAAAUAAAUAGGAUAAAUAAUUCUUUUUUAAAAGAAAAAACUUGGCUUGAAUUUCAAUUCAGUUUUUGGUAACUUCGUGUGACAACGUGGUUGGUGAGUUUAAUCUAUCUUUUGAAAAAUUACCACCUUAGCAUAGGGUUGUCAAUGGGUAUGAAUAUCCGAAAUUUUAUUCGAAUCCGAACCCGAAUGAAACGGAUAUAUCCAGUGGAUAUGGAUAUGGAUUCGAAUAUGGAUAUCAAAAAUAGAAACCCGACGGAUAUGGAUUCGGAUAUGGAUUUUGAUUGUACCCGAUUCGAACCCGAACCCGAAUUUAUUUUAUAUUAUAUAUAUAUAUAUAUAUAUAUUUGAUAUUAUAUUUGAAUUUGUAUUUUAAAAAUUUAGGUUUAAUAUAAUAUAUUUUGAAAUAUUGAAAAAAAAAAUAAUUGUUUCGGGUUCAAAUUUUCGGGUUCCGGUUCGGGUUUUGGAUUUUUGGUCGGGUUCGGGUUUGGAUAUGGAUUUUUAAAAUCCGUCGGGUUCGGGUUCGGGUUCGGGUCUCGGGUUUGGAGUCGGGUUCGGGUUCGGAUUUUUAAAAAUCCGCCCUAAAUCCGACCCGUUGACAUCUCUACCUUAGCAUCCUCAUGAUACUCUCUCUCUCUCUCUCUCUCUCUCUCUUGAAAAUUGAAACUUCCAUGUAAAACUAAAAUUGAAGUUGAAUUUUAGGGAUGAAAUUGAAAUCGGGGCCAAACUUUAGGGACUGGAUUAUGUUAAAAUUAACACCGAGGUGAUAUUUGAGAGACUUUACUUGUGAUUAAAUUGUCUUGAAUCGCUAUUAAGUCCAUGAAUUCUAAAUCGGGCAAAAAUAGGGCCGAGUUUUCAGAAUCUAUGACCCAGCAUUGUCCCCUAGCUCGGACGGGGCAGGACAAUGCCAUGUCGGGUAAGGCUUCGUGAUAGUUCUUUUAUUUUUUUAUUUUUAUAAAACUUAAAAUAAAAAAAAAGGACUAAAAUGAUUCUAUUUGUCCAUUUUUCCUAGCCUGGGAAAAUAUUUUGGCCGAAAUAAUCAUAUGUAACAACAGAUAGGUUUCAGGGCUAUUUGUAUAAAACUCGAAAUUGAAUCCGAAAAAGAAAAAAAAAAAUAAUAAUCUUGAAACCAUACCCGAGCUGGAUCGAUUAAAAAUAUCCGAAACACAAAAUUGAACCGAAUGAAAAACUGAAGAUCUGUGCCUGAAAUCGUAAAAUCAAUCCGACCAUUUACUAUUGAACUAAAUUAUUAAUAUAUAUUAAUUAUUAAAAAAAGAAUGUAAAAGAUUAUAUUUUAUAGAGGUUUCGUUCUAGCUUCGGGUUCGGCUUAGAUGCAAGUAUAAACUAUAACUGAAUUCGAAUUUGUCGGUCAUUGUAUAUAUUGAUAAUCCAAACCAUACUUGUUUAGUAUUGAUUAAAUCCAUUUGUUGUAGAUUUAGGUUCAGAUAAAACUUUCGGCUAUUCGUAACCAUUGACAUCUAGAGUGGACACAAGGAGAUCCGGUUGUGCGGAUCAUGCCCCGAUAGGCCGCAAGCCAGGCCCCUUGCAUGGCACCGUUCGAGAUGAGUAGAAGCUGUGUCGCGCUGGGCCGAAGGCCAACCCGAGACACUAAACGGCCUGCGAUGGGCACGAGCCGUGCCGUGCUGGGCCAACUAGCUAUCCAACUAAUUUUCAUCCCUAAUUCUAGAGACUUUUCCUUUUAGGGUUGAGGCUCAAUAAUUUGGUAGAAGAGUAUGGAAGAGAGAAAAAUCCUAACUCUUUGUGAUAGUGAAUUUAGCUUAAACAGAUACUACUUUUGGACAUGUACAAACCCUAAUCAUUGUGUAGUUCUCUGGUUCACCAUCAGUGUGUUUUUGUACUCAGCUCAAAUUCCUCAUCCUAAUGUAACAAUCAUGAUGAGAUCAUCUUAAACCAACUUGUCUGAUUCGACUAAUGUCGGGUCUUUCAAGUAGUCAGCUAAAUUUCAAACUCCGAAGUUUGUUUAGUUUCUCAGUUUUAAAGUUUAAGCUUCUGAUAUAAAGUAAACCAGUUUGAAUAGAAUAAACGGCUUACAGUGGUUCGGUUCUUUUACCACAUCGGUUCGCUUUCGAUUUCGAUUUCGAUUUCGAUUUUGAAAUUGUACAUGAUAAAUUUAUUUGUUUGGAUCUACAUUUUCUUACAUUAGCAAAUCUAAACCAACCAAUGCACACCCUUUGUAAAGAAGAUAUAAUUUUUUUCUCUUUGAAGAGUGUGUAGAAGAUAUUUUUCUUGGGAGGGAGUGAGAGAGUUCACUAGAGGACAAAAACCAUUUAUAUUUCUCAUGGGCCACAUUGCAUAAGAUGGUGACAUGGGCUCUCUUUUUUAUAUUUAGCUUUAUGUGACAACCAUAGAUGCCAUUAGUGUCAUGGGAUCCAAAUGAGCCCCAAAAGGGGUAGUUGUGGUGCCAUAAAUAAAAAUAAAACAUGGGGAGAAAAUCUGAAAAUGAUGUCCAUUGAGUUUUAAAUUGGUAAAUGUGUGUAUAUAUGUAUGUAUAUAUAGGCAUUUUGAAAAAUAUCCUUAAAUUAAAUUAAAAAAUUUAUUAAAUUUUAUGGGGGCUUUAUUAAAUUUUAUUUUGCAGAGUUAUUUUUUAUUUGAACUUACAAAAUUUUAAAUUAAAAUAAUUUAAAAUUAAGAGAAUUUAAUAAAGAGAAUAACAGUUGAGAGGAGAGGGUCUUCAUACAUUUUUUUUUUACCCUUUGAAUAUUUUUAUCCUAUAUAUAUUCUUAUAUUUUGCUUGCUAACAUAUUGAUUUGCCAAUAUAUCAAACUUACAACUCAUUUAAUAUUAUUACAUACAAAUAGAAAUAAAGAGUAUGACUAUUGUACUAUUAGGAGCACGGCAGCUCAUGUGCAGAGAAAAAAAAAAUUGAGAAUAAAUUCAAAAAGAAGAGAAACUGAGAUACCUAAUUUUUUUUCAAUUUUUUUUUAUCCCUCUCAUUUUAACUAUACCUCAAAAUUGAUGAAUAAUUAUGAACUUAAAAGCACAUGAAUUAUUGUGCUCUUAAUAGCACAGUAGUUCUGCUACAAAAAUAAAUAUUUUUUUGUAACCGCCUCUUUCUUUUCCAUUCCCACUUAAAUAUCUCCAAACAUAAACAAAAAGAAAAGAUAAAUUAAAAAAUAAUAAAAUAAUUCCCACUUGCGACAAAAUUUUAAAAGAUAAUAACAAAAAAAAAAAAAAAAAACUCCUCACUCUCACCUCUCAUUCCCUAUCCACUCUCCACGUGUCUCCCCUCCUAGAUUUUUCCUCCACCUUUAUAUCCCUCCCCCUCUCACCAAUCACUCCCAUCUCCAACCUCCUCUGAACCCUAAACCCUAAAACCCCCCUAACCCUAAUCCUCCAAUUCCACCCAUGGCGACGAUGGCCACCGCCGCCCUCUCCUCCACCCCGAGAGCCCUGGACCACUCGUCCUUCCACGGGGCCUCCCUCCCGUCCCGCGUCGUCCCGAUCAGAACACUGUCGUGCACAAAAACGUCCGCUCUCUCCGUGACCGCCGCCGCGUCGGUCUCGACCCCCCGGUACGAUCUGAACGCGGUCCGGUUCGAGCCGAUCAAGGAGUCGAUCGUGUCGCGCGAGAUGACGCGGCGGUACAUGACGGACAUGAUCACGUACGCCGACACCGACGUGGUGGUCGUCGGCGCCGGCUCCGCUGGCCUCUCCUGCGCCUACGAGCUCUCCAAGGACCCCUCCGUCCGCGUCGCCAUCAUCGAGCAAUCCGUCUCCCCCGGCGGCGGCGCCUGGCUCGGCGGCCAGCUCUUCUCCCCCAUGGUACGUCCCACACUCAUUAUGAUUCUCUAAAUAUUAACUCACAUACGUACCGUGACGAUCGAUUAGAGAACAGUGUUAUAAUAUUUUCAUGAUACGUUACAGGAACACUCAUUAUGAUAUUAUAAAAAUAUCGAAUGAAUGAUUGAUAUAUUAGAAAGAGAACGGUGUUUUAAUAUUUUUAAGAACGGUGUUUUAAUAUUUUUAUUAUUGUGACACAGGUGGUGCGAAAGCCGGCGCACCUGUUUCUGGACGAGGUGGGGGUGGAGUACGACGAGUGCGAGAACUACGUGGUAGUAAAGCACGCGGCGCUGUUCACGUCGACGAUCAUGAGCCGGGUGCUGGCGAGGGCGAACGUGAAGCUGUUCAACGCGGUGGCGGCGGAGGACCUGAUCGUGCGGGGCGGGCGGGUGGCCGGGGUGGUGACGAACUGGGCGCUGGUGUCCAUGAACCACGACACGCAGUCCUGCAUGGACCCCAACGUCAUGGAAGCCAAGGUCGUCGUCAGCUCCUGCGGCCACGACGGGCCCUUCGGCGCCACCGGCGUCAAGCGCCUCCGCGACAUCGGCAUGAUCGACGCCGUGCCCGGCAUGCGCGCCCUCGACAUGAACGCCGCCGAGGACGCCAUCGUUCGCCUCACCCGCGAGGUCGUCCCCGGCAUGAUCGUCACCGGGAUGGAGGUCGCCGAGAUCGACGCCUCCCCCCGCAUGGUAUCUAUAUAUAUAUAUAUAUAAACUCUCUCUCUAUUCUAACUGCAGCAGCAGUUGGACCUCUUCUGUAAUUUUUACCGUAAUAAUUGAAGUUAAAUAUAUCAAAAUCCAAUAUCGAAUUUAUAUUUACAUAUAAUUAUAACGUAUAAUUGCAACUACGUACGAUCAAACAGUCUCUUAAUAUAGUAGGAAACAGUUUAUGAAUAGUCUUUUGUAUGUACAGGGGCCGACGUUCGGGGCGAUGAUGAUAUCCGGGCAGAAGGCGGCGCACCUGGCACUGAGGGCUCUCGGGAGGCCCAAUGCUUUGGACGGGACGUUGGAGGAGGCGGCGGCAGGGGCGCAGCCGGAGCUCGUGCUUGCGGCGUCGGAUGGUGGGGAUGUGGUGGAGGCUUAGAGACGAGGGGUGUGUUUAUGGUUUCAGUGUUUUGAUUGAUCACAGGGGAGCAGAGGAGGGUUAGGAAGAAUAAGAGGGUCUAAGCUAAGGAGGGGUGGAGUGCAACUGGAGAUAGAGAAAUGGAGUAGACUGUAAAAGAAAGUUAAAAAGACUUUCAGAAACUUUGCUGUUUGUUCAUCUUCUGCUGUCAUCAGUGUCUUGUUGUUAUCAAAAACAACCGUGUCCUUUUUCUGAUUCUCUGAAUAAAGUAAAUUAAAUGCGCUCUGCAAUAUAUAUAUGCGUGUUGUACAUUUUUUUCAUUCAUUAUUGUUUUUGUUCUUGAACAUGCAAACUGAUUUGCUUGGUUUUGAAUCUUGCUAGUAAGUGGAUUUUGGUGUUGAGCUAAGAACAUAUUAUCUAGAGCCCAACAUAUUAUUUAAACAAAGUAUCGCAACUAGUUUGAAUAUUGCCAACAAAUUAUCAUUAUUGUUAAUUUAGUAGUAAUAAUAAAGUAAUUACGAAGUGCUCUUCAAUUAGAAUUCUUGGGAAAAAAAAGAAAAAAAAAAUCAAAACUCAUUAAAGAUACUGCUGCCACGGCUUCCGAAUUCCAAAGUAUAACUUUCACCGAAGAAGCGCUAGCAAAUUUCUAGUUCAAAUUCUGACUGCUGCUCUACCAAACAAAAAAUAGGACUUCAAUUUUUUAAUAUAUAUUAUAUAAAAAAUUCUCAUCUGUGCGUAGUGUAGCUGUAUUAGAACUUAAACCAAAUUUGCACUCAACUGCAGCAAGGUUUCAUAUGGGAAUAUUCUGGGAAUGGUAAAGUACAAUUUGCAUUUAAGAGUGAGGUGAAAUACCAUUUUUUUCUGCAACUUGAAAUUCAGAAAUAACUCUAACUAAAGAUGCAAUGAUCCCUGGUCAAAUAACUCAAACUUGAGAGGUUAGUGAGGUAGUGCCACUUUACCUUGCAAAGCUGCAGCGCCGGGGCACGGCAUUUGUUAGAUUCUACACAUUAGGAUUUGUUUUCGGAAAAGCAACCGUAAAACAGUAUCAGUUUUCAACAUUUAUUUAAGAAAAAAAGCAGUGCUACUGUACACCUCGCAUAUCGGUGUAAAAUUUACACCCUAUAAUGAAAUGUACAAGUAGAAUUUUGUUUGAGGAAACUGAUUGGCUGGUUUAUUAGCAACAAGUUUAUAAAUUCACUCUUAUGUGUAACCUGUAAAAAUUCGCAAUUAACUCAGACUAAAUUAAACAACAAAAUCCCACAUUUGCAAUGUAAACAAAUUUUCAGUUCCAUACUAAGCACUACACUCUGAAAGCUGUCAGAUACUCCGCAUUUACCUGAAAAAUACAACAGAUAUGCGUAAAUUUAUACGAUCUGAAAAUAUGAAAUUGGAGAGCAACAACGUGUAAGAACAACGUAAAACCCAACCAGGAAACGUAAAACUCGAAAACAGUUUCCAGGAAGCAAUAUUACUACGAGUCCCAGUUCGGAAAUUUAAGGCAAAUUCCCAUUUCAAAUUUCCCAUGACACAAUACAACAUGAUUUAUCUUGUGCUCGAAAUAAACACAAAAUGUAACCGUGAAAAGAAGCACUCUACAUUAGUUAAACACUUUUCACUAUAUAGUUGUAUGCUCAGGAAAGAUCCAGUUGUUGUAAGCUUUUCGAAAGGGGCCCAAAGGAAUUCUAAGGUUAAACUGCAUGGUGGUACAUCAUUUUAAAACCAGAACUCAGUACGAAGGGAAACACAUUAUUCACAUAACUCGAUUGGAAUUUAGCUGGAAACAAUGCUUGGCCAGGAACUCUUUUGAAUUCGCAGAAGUGGAGCAUACAAGGGCUUGAGUAGUGGAUAAAAGGAAAAAAAAAGAAGAAAUCCUCGAACAAAGUUAUGGACUGUGUAUAGCCACCUCAAGGGUUAUUAAAAUAAGGGAGGAGGGAGACAGCAUAUAUGACUGCAAUACAAAGGGCUCUCCUUAUAUGACCACCUCAAAGGUGAAUGCUAUAUCAAUGCUGCAUUUGCUCAGUAAAAAAGAAGCACAGAAAGAUAAGAGCAUGAGCUUCUCAUGAAUUGGCUUCUCUAUAGCGUAAAAAGAUACAGUUUGAAAGUCAAAACGUUGCAAGUGUAAUUAAUGAAUAAAAGAUAAGUUUCAACUCAUUCAUAGAUAAUAUAAUAUGUUCCAAUUGUUAAGAGAUUAGAAAGUCGUAGUUGAAGGCUUGUCUAAAGCGUUGAACUAAGAAACAAGCCGUAAGAUAUGUGUCUGGUAAGCAAUAAAUGAUUCAAAUCUGACUGGCUUCCCUGUGCUACACUAGUUAUAGGAACUAAAGUAUCUUAAAAAGUAUAGAACACAAACUGCAGCUAAAAUAGGUUUAGGGUUGAGCUCAAACAAACAGCGAGAAGCAAUAAGGCAGUGUCUAAUUGAAAAUAGAUCCAAUAAAGAGACUUACAACACAAACUACCAAGAAAUCAUUAUGCCUUUUCAAGCUCUAUUCUAGGUAAGACAUAGAUUGAUUGAAUUAAUACCCCACAGCCACAUUUCUAUGUUACCGAAAGGUAUAACCUAUGAAGGUUUGCUAUACAGUUUUUAUUUAAAAAUUUAGUUCACCAUGAACAAUAUGGAUCCUAAGCAAUAAUCUACAAUGUGGCAAUUGUGUGCGAGCAGCAAGCUGUCAAAUUGGCCUUUCCUGUGAAAUGGUGCAGAUGCAGGUGCAUACUUAUAAAAGUCAUCUAAAAUACGAUAAAAUAUUUCAGAACAUAAAAGAAUAACUAAGAAGGAAAAAUAAAAUUUUGAAAAGCAAUAAAAUUUUGAAGAACAAAGUAACAUAAUCAAGAUCAUACUGAAGUUUUCAAUUAUCUAAUGCAAAAAGAAAGAUAACAUUUGUGAGAGCACGGCCAUAAAAAAAAAAAAAAGAUAACAUUUUUCUUUCAUAUCUCACAGCAUUUAUAGCAUCUUAAACGUAAAUUUAGAUCAAAGUUCUCUCACUACCUGUGUUCUCAACUCAAAACCUCCUCUAUCCAUCGAUGAGGACCAUGACAUAAACCAUAACACCGAAAACUAGAACAAGAUUACUCCACUUCAGAUGUGAGCAUGUAUCUUCGAGAAAUGUCAUUACAUUUCUAAAGCAAUAGUCAAUACUAAUAUUCAAUAGAUCUGAAAUAAGAUAAAUAUUAGAACAUAGACCUUCAAUCGAAGAAAGAGAGAGAAGCUACUCCAUACCUCCCAAACUAUGACAAAGAGGAAGAAGACCCUUCUUCCUCCGCUCCUUCAGCCGGAUCAUCUCCAACUGUUGGGCCAGAAGGCGUGAAUUCCAUAUCCGGUCUUCCAAUUAUCCAAAUGGAUCACCUUCCUCACAGCCCAAUAAGCUAUCACCAUGGCCACUAGCAUGAAGGUCCUCUGCACCGCCAAGCUCCUGAUGCGCACCAACACAUGCGUCACGAAUGCGAUCACCAGCCCCACGAUCGUGUACAGGAACCCCACCGCGAAACCCUCUGCUCCGAGCUGCAUCCCUGAUCCCUGGUAGAAGAAUAUCAGCCGGUCCGGAUUGUUCCGAUCCCUCAGAAACAUCGGCGUCUUCCGGAUGAUGCCGUGCAUCGCGCCGGACACGCUGAAGAAGUAGACGAAGAUCGCGGAGGCCAUCCAGAGCUUGCGAUCGUGGAAGAUCGUGUCGCCCUGGAGGAUACGCUUGAUCACGAAUGGCGAGAGGAUGAGGAGGAGCACGCCGAGGGCGACGAUCUGGCCCCGGGAGAGCGGGGGCGGGCGCUGGAUCGGGCCGAGGGAGAGGCCGGUGCGGGACGCGACGAACUCCGCCAUGGAUUCGGCGCCAGCGGCGAAGUUGGAUUGGUCCAUGGGCUCGGAGUCGCGGAGGGAUCCGGCGUUGGGGGUGACGAUGCGGAUGUGGGGGAGGGAGUUGACGCCGAAGAGGGAGAAGGAGGAUUGGGACUCCCCGAACUCGAGAUCGGCGAAGAAGAGGCGGGAGGAGGAGGGGUUGUGGGCGGAGAAGGAGGCGGAGAGGAGGGCGAACUCGGAUCGGAGCUCGCGGAGGUGGAGAUCGGGGUUGGAGCGGAGAUGCGCGGCGUCGAAGAAGACGAGGGAGGAGAGGAAGCGGGACACGGCGGCGUCGUUGAAGUGGAUCACGCCGGAGGGAGAGCGCGAUCGGAGGGUCUCAAGCUCCGCCACCAGAUCGUCGGAGGAGGGAUCGGCGGAGGCGAGGAAGAGGAGGGGUACGAGGAGGAGGAGGAGGAGGAGGAGGAGGAGGGGUUCGGGCGCCAUUAUUGAGGUUUUCGGAGAGCGGGAUCGAUGUGGCUUUAGGGUUUUGAUGGGAGAAGCAGAGUGGGGGAGGAGAAAUGUGGCUCAGAGAAGAAGCGCGGUGGAUAGGAUGGGAGCAUAGAGAGUCAAAAAGCGCUCUUGGAAGAAGCUGCAGCGGGUGCUAGAAGCAGAAAUUCUAAAUGGGCCUACCUGGGCCCAAACUAGAUGAAGAGCCUGGCUCUCAGAGACCGGCCCGGUAGUCCCCUAAACCGUGGGCCCUGUUUUCACCGUUAGCCAUAGACCGGCCCACUAAACACUCCCGAAUGAACGGAAAAAACAUGACGGUCCACAGUGACGUGGUACUCCUCGUCCACCGAAGAAUGUAUCGUCCUUAAGGCGUGCGGCGUGGCCAUGGCCGCACCCACUUGUUCUUCGGAUCUUCUCUUCUAGACGCACAUAGCUAUGCACCUAUUUCACCACGUCAUCUACACACCGCACCCUCAUCUCCGUCCAUUUUAUUAUUUUUUGAAUCGCCACGGUCGUGGCAUCUUCGGUGCAGAAUUGACGUGGUGCACUAUGUGCAAGGAAACUUUUCUUCCAAAUGGGCCGGCGCCUUGGUUAUUUAUUUAUUUAUUUAUUUAUUUAUUGAUGAUUAUUAAUAGGCUCACCUAAUUCGACCGUUUGCUAUGGCAGCGGUCGAAGAAGCCCAUUUCGUGCAAGUCACGUCGGAACAGCUCACCUCGAACACGUGUUCGGUUUUGAUUGGCUUUACUUUUCUUUGUGGUUGGGUCUACUGUCCGGGUUCGACGUAUGCGGACAGUAAUCUCACCUAUAAAUCUCCCCUUCCCCGACCUUUCCUCUCCCUCAUCCCAUCGCUUCGAAAACCCUAGAAACAGAGUUCCGAGAUCCCAAUCUCCUUCCAAGGUGCUUCCUCUCUCUCCCCUCUCGAUCUCUCUCGCUUCCAUCUCUUGUAGCUUAGAUUUAUCUUAUUCGGGGAGUUUUGCUUGUGAUUUUUGGAUCAAUUUCUUUAUUUUUGUUUCUCCUCUUUGUGAUCUGAUUUGAUUUGGUUUCUCCCUCUGCGGUCGAUUCAACAGAUGCAGAUCUUCGUGAAAACCCUCACCGGAAAGACGAUCACCCUCGAGGUGGAGAGCUCCGACACCAUCGACAACGUUAAGGCCAAGAUCCAGGACAAGGAGGGGAUUCCCCCGGAUCAGCAGCGGCUCAUCUUCGCCGGGAAGCAGCUCGAGGACGGCCGAACCCUAGCCGACUACAACAUCCAGAAGGAGUCGACCCUCCACCUUGUGCUCCGUCUCCGCGGCGGUAUGCAGAUCUUCGUGAAAACCCUAACGGGGAAGACGAUCACCCUUGAGGUGGAGAGCUCCGACACCAUCGACAAUGUGAAGGCCAAGAUCCAGGACAAGGAGGGGAUUCCCCCGGAUCAGCAGCGUCUCAUCUUCGCCGGGAAGCAGCUCGAGGACGGCCGCACCCUCGCCGACUACAACAUCCAAAAGGAAUCCACCCUUCAUCUUGUCCUCCGUCUCCGCGGCGGUAUGCAGAUCUUCGUCAAAACCCUAACGGGGAAGACGAUCACCCUCGAGGUCGAGAGCUCCGACACCAUCGACAACGUGAAGGCCAAGAUCCAGGACAAAGAGGGCAUCCCCCCGGACCAGCAAAGGCUCAUCUUUGCCGGGAAGCAGCUCGAGGACGGGCGCACCCUCGCCGACUACAACAUCCAAAAGGAAUCCACCCUCCACCUCGUGCUCAGGCUGAGGGGUGGGAUGCAGAUCUUCGUCAAGACCCUAACGGGGAAGACGAUCACCCUCGAGGUCGAGAGCUCCGACACCAUCGACAACGUGAAGGCCAAGAUCCAGGACAAGGAGGGCAUCCCCCCGGACCAGCAGCGUCUCAUCUUCGCCGGGAAGCAGCUCGAGGACGGACGCACCCUCGCCGACUACAACAUCCAGAAGGAAUCCACCCUCCACCUCGUCCUCCGCCUCCGCGGUGGCAUGCAGAUCUUCGUCAAGACCCUCACCGGCAAGACGAUCACCCUCGAGGUCGAGAGCUCCGACACCAUCGACAAUGUCAAGGCGAAGAUCCAGGACAAGGAGGGGAUCCCACCGGACCAGCAGCGUCUGAUCUUUGCAGGUAAGCAGCUCGAGGACGGCCGCACCCUCGCCGACUACAACAUCCAGAAGGAAUCCACCCUUCACCUCGUGCUCCGCCUCCGCGGUGGUAUGUAAGCUUCCAACGUGCUAUCGAUGGGGUCCCUGGCAAUUAUCCGCGCUCUUCGCGCCUGCGUCCUGUUCUAUGAAUUAUCUGAUUGAGUCUCGUCUCGUGUUCUUUGCUGUGGGUCUAUAAUAUACUCUAUAUGUCGUUUGCUUUGUUCUCUGUGGUCAGUUGUCUGCGAACUUUUCUACUAUGUUCUUGUGGUGGUUUCUAAUAAAUAAAGAUAAUGCCAGGUUAUUGUGUGCUAUGCUAUAUCGUACUUUCGUGCUUUGGUAUUUCAUAUACAUAAUAUGGUUAUGGUAUUGAUUAUCUAGCUUGUGCUGAUUGAAUGCAACCUUCUAAGGUCUAGGUAAAUCUAAUGUGGUGACUGGAUUUUGUGCUUCUCUAUGCAGAGGAAAUAAAUGAGUGUGUUUACAGCUAUACCUGUGCUUUAUAUUAGUUCGAUAUUUACAUGAUUACAUAGCUUUUUUGUAAGGUGGAGUUUAGCUUCUGUAUUUUGUUUAGUUAUGAUCAAUCCAAAUAUUUUUCUUUCUCAAGAGAACUCAUUGAAUCUUUGGAGGACUCGAAAUCAUUAUCUACUGUGCAUUGAUUUGGAGUUAGGAUGGUGUGUGAAGCAACAUUUGAUCUUAGUUUUUCUUAGUUCAAUGUAUCGAUCAAAUAUCACUCAUCCUAUUUGGCACGGUUUGGUUCGUUGGUUCAAUUGCUGUGAAUCGGCAUAACAUGGUUGAAGGUAAUAAUGUUGGCAUGACACCAUCAUAUCCAUGGAACGUAAACAGAGCUACUUUAAUCCAUGGAACGUAAACAGAGCUAUUUUAAUACCACUGAUUGUUUGAUUUUGUUAAUAUUCGAAUUCAGUUGGUCGUUUUAUGGAAAUUUGUUAUCUGGACAACUGUUGGUAAUACCAGAUUCCUUGUCUUUUAUUACUUCUUGUAUUGUGUCUGCCGAUUCUCUUUGUAGGCAGAUAUUACAUUGUUUUAGUUGCUUCCAACUGCAAUCUUUAUUCCUUACAAACUCCUCAUGACUUCGUGCCAUUGUAUAUACAUAUCAAGUACUUUCAUGUUGUCUCUUUGAUUUAUAGUUAUCAAUUUUAUUCAAUUUCGCAUGUUUCAGUUGAUCUUAAUUAAGAGUUAAACUGUGUGCUGUGUGCUUCAUGUUGUCUCUUUGAUUGAUUCAUAGUUAUCAAUUUUAUUCAAUUUCGCAUGUUUCAGUUGAUCUUAAUUAAGAGUAAACUGUGUGCUGUGUGCUUCAUGUUGUCUCUUUGAUUGAUUCAUAGUUAUCAAUUUUAUUCAAUUCGCAUGUUUCAGUUGAUCGUAAUUAAGAGUAAAGUGUGUGCUGUGUGCUUUGUGUUGUCUCUUUGAUUUAUAGUUAUCAAUUUUAUUCAAUUCACAUGUUUCAGUUGAUCUAUGAGCUUUCUCGUCUCUAUUCCUUUGUAACUUUUGUUCAUUAGACGACCUCUCUUUCGCCCCUUACAUGAGCAUAAUUAGUGGUUAUCAUACACCACCCCUCAAAAGGGGUGUAUAAGUAGGCAUUACUCAAAUCUAGGAUUCUAAACAUGUAAAUUGCAUUAUUGGCUCUUGAACUUUUCAGAGAGUUUAAAUUUUAUUCCCUGUGAUACAAAAUCAGAUGUGGAUAGUAUUGAUUCAUUUAGAUUUUAAUUUUAAUUUUAAUUUUUAAUUUUUGAAAUUUUAAUUUUUUUUUCUAAUUUUUAAAAUUAUUCUGUUUGUUAAUACAUCUUAGUCAUUCUUUAAAAGAUUUUUAUAAUUUAUUAUGUGAAAUAAAUUUUUAAAAAUUAGGAAUAUAGUUUAGAUUUCUGUUUUUUAGAUUUGUUCGGAUUAGAAAAGAUUUUUAAGAUCGUGAAAUUUGAUUUGGAUAAGAAUUAUAGAUUUAUGCCUUGUAAUUGGAGGUUGAGGAUUACGAUGAAUUAGUUUGGACUUUUGAUUUGGCACCUGUCGUCAUAUAUUUUUUUUUGUGGCCAAUAUUUUUUUAAAAAAAAUUUUAUUUUCUAUUUCCUUCCUUUCUUUCCUCAUUUUUUUUCUUUUUUUUUGUUUUUUUAAAAUUUUCUUCUAAACUUGCUUUUUAAAUUUUCUAAAAUAAAUUUCCAAAAUUUUCUGACCUUUUUUCAUUUAUCGGCUACGUUUUUAAUCUUCUUUUAAUUUUCUUAUUUUUUUCAAAAUAUUACAGAGUAAAAAAAUUUCAGCCGCACUUCUCUUUUGGAUUUUGUUUUCUUCUUUUUACUCCGAAAAUUAGUUUAAAAUUUUUAAAAUUUUUAAUCUUUUUUAAAAGUGAAUAUUAUUUUAAAAUUUUUAGAAAAUUUUAAAUUUAGUUUUGAAUAGAUUUUGGGUUCAUCACUAGUACGAUAGGUUGUAAUUUUUUCAGUUUGUUCUCUAUUACCCUCACUUUCUAAACAUCGAGUUUUAUUUUUCAUUUGUAAGUUGCAGUGUUAGAAUUGAAUUUUAUUUUUCAUUUGUAAGUUGCAGUGUUAGAAUUGAAUUUUCAAAAAUGUUUAGGAGCAAUUUGAGUUAGCUACAUAGUUGGAGUUUGAAACCCUUCUGAUUGAACUGGGUUAAGAUUUGCAUGUUCGCUUUCAAAAUCUAAUCUUUCAAAUGUAUGAUUCUGAAAUUUGUCAUUCUUGUGUGAAUCUGGAUUUACAUGUGAAUAUCUAAAGAAAGCUACAGUGCUUUUGCUGCAGCCGGAAGCAGCAAUUAUCAUUUGAAUUUCGACAGCAAGAGUUUCAAUUUGACACCACUAUAAAUUAAAGCCACUCUUACACCACUUUAGAUUAUCUUGGUUUGUGACCCAAAGCUUAGCCUUCCUAUGCUAAAAUGCUCAAUGGUGUCUAUGUUCUUACAUGUUAUUUUCUUAAAAACUCGUGUAUAUUAUUUAUUUAUUGCGGACCGUAAAGUCGUUUUUUUUAAAAAAAAAAAUAAUAAAUUUGGCUGAAAGUAUGAAUCAGUUAUGAACUAUCAAGUACUUUACUAAUUACGCUAAGAACAGUGGGUAAAAUACAUAUAUACUUUUGAUCUCAUUUAUAUUGAAUAUAAUAUGUUUUCAAAUUCAGGUAACCUCUCUCUCUCUAUAUAUAGGGCUAGGCUCCUAUGCUUUCGAAAGUACGGAAGGUCCCGUGCUUGUAAGUUGUUUUUGAUGAUGGGACAUCCAAUUCGGCUAUCGGUUCCGUUAAACUUGAUCUAUGCUAUUGGAACUAUCUAGAAACCAAAUGUCAUAAUUUUUUGAUUUCGUUUGUCUAGUGGACGAGUAGCCUCAAAAUGAACGGCUGAAAAUAAAAAUCUCAUAAAAAACAGUGAUAAAGAAUUCAAAUUUUAAAUUAGAAGUAUUGAUCUUACUACUUAUGUUAAGUAGAAUUUUCUAUUAAAUUUUCAUGUAAUUUGGAUACUUCUACACCGUUGAACUUAAAAAUGUGCCACAUCGACCGUUAAAAUAGUCAAUUUUUAGACCUUUUGAUCGCUUAGUAAAUGAUGUCAAAAAAAUCUAAAAUUUGGUUUCUAGAUAGUUCCAAUAGGGUAAAUCAUACCUAACGGAGCCGAUCAUCGAAUCGAACGUCCUAUCAUCGAAAACAACUUAUAAGCACGGGGCCUCCCAUACUUUCGAAAGUACGGAAGACGGACUCUAUAGAGCUAGGCUCCUAUGCUUUCGAAAGUACGAGAGGCCCCGUGCUUGUAAGUUGUUUUCGAUGAUGGGACAUCCGAUUCGGCUAUCGGUUCCGUUAAAUUUAAUCUAGGCUAUUGGAACUAUCUAAAAAUCAAAUUUCAUAAUUUUUUAAUUUCGUUUGUCUAGUGAAAUAUAUAUAUAUAUAUAUAUAUCACGACAAAAUCAACAGCCGUAAUAUUUCUCAUCUCUCCUACUAAGGUUUUUCAAAACUUAGACCCGGUAGUUUUGGAGUGUAAUCUCCACGCGUUAUUUCCAUUUUUUGACUCAUUCUUUUCUAUUUAUCCACCUAUGAAAAUAUUCUCUUUCGAAUUAUUUUAGCCAAUGAAAUUAAACUUAUCAUUUCGAAUUACAAAAAAAAAUUACAUCAUGUACGGUAAAAAAAUUAAUUAAUUAAUUUUUUUAUUUUAAUAUAUAACAUUACAUUCCGUAUACGAGUCAAAAAACAAUAUAGCUUAAUAAUAGCAAAUGACAUUAAGUAAUUUUAAUUCAGUUGAUUAAAUUAUUAAAAUUUAAACAUAUAAAUAAAAAAUUAUGGGUGUUUGUUAUAAAAAAUAUCUGGGAAAUAUCCCCAUGUUUAAUUCCUCCUUAAAAUACUUUUCACAACUAGGGUUUCUACUUUACGAUAUACACACUCAAAAACCAAAACCAAAAAAAAAGAAAAAAGAAAAAAGAAAAAAAAAAAAAAAAAAAAAAGAAGAAAAGAGGUUGUAAAAUGAGGGUGGGCGUAGAGAACCUCAUGGGGAGGUUCUUCUAUGCGGACGUGGAGGAGAAUGCGACGGUGGGGACGCUGAAGAGGGAGAUCGCGACCGUCGAUGCGACGCUGCACGAGAGCCGCUUGAUCCUGAUGCUCCCUACCGGCCGUCUGAUGACGGAUGAACGGCGCGCGCUGGCCGAGUACGGUGUGCUCGACGGGUCCAUCGUGUACCUCUUCUUCACCUCCGCACCAAUCGAUCCCCAUUGGCUCGCUUAUUUUCAGGAUUUUUUUUAGUUUUUUUUUUUAAAUAGAGAGUAAUAAUGUUUUUUAUUAUUAUUACUAUGAAUUUUUGGCUUUUUAUUUUUAUUUUUAUUUUAUUUUUUGGGGUAUAAAGAGAUUACGUAGUUGCAAAUUAUUGUAAAAUUGAUUUGUUACGUAUCUCAAAUGGAAAAAAAAAAGAAAAAAGGAAAGGUGAAAAUAUAGGGGUUUGAUUUAUUUGAUCUUCAAACUUAGCAGGAUAUUUAUACUUUCUCUCUGUACUCAAUUUCUUAUUUAUAAUAUUUGUUAUUAAUUACCAUUCGAUUAUAUCAACAUCCAUGGUUAUUUUAUUUUAAUUUAAAGCUGAAAAUAAAAAAUCUCGAAAGACUCAAUAUAUAAUAUAGAACAAAAUUGAAAAAAAAAAUUGAGGGACUAAACAUGCAAUAUAAAAACAUUAGUUCAUUUUAGUUUAUUAAGAAGGGUUAAAAAAUAAAGUUGUGUUGAAAUACUAUUAGUAGCAAAUGAAUUUUGUUGUUAUUAGUAGCAAACAUUAGUUCAUUUUUUACUUUGAUUUUAAAAUCGGUAAAUAUAAAUAGAGUUAAAUUAGUCGACGGCACUUUUACCGUCUUAAGUGUAAGUGACGAAAAACUUGAUAGUCGAUAUCAAAGGUUUCAAGUAUGAAGCUUGAUUGCUUCACAUUUUCAGCUAAAUUUAUUUUUUCAAACAAUAGAUCAGAUAUGAUCAAUAUAUUACCAUUCUCUCUUAAAAAAAAAAAAAAAGUUUACUUUGGGAAACUUCACUAUACAAACACAUACCUAGUUUUGACCCCGCACGCUAUAAUUAUUCAAAACUGUGCAAAUGUAGUGCACAUGUUACUGUUCAAAACAGGGCUUCAGAUAAAAUCAUCUUCGAUCAUCUGGUCCCGUUCUUCUUACCCAGACUUCUAAAAAUAUCUAUAUCUAAAAAUAUAUGUAUAUUAAUCCGAUAUAUGAGGUACGAGCUCUAAAUUUAUUUAAGUUCGUACGUGUGGUAACUUGAACAUCUAAAAUUAGAUCACUUGCCUACGAGAUUACCAGUGAUUUGGUAAUUUAUGAAUUUUUUUUCAAAAGUUUUAACUGGUAGUUAUUUGGACACGCGAAAACCCCUCUUCAUUGCGCACAUGAUAGAAAAAAUUGCUGUCCCCUGCAACUUUAAUGACGAGUAUAUCGCAUUUAAGCUUUGUCCAUUGUCAUGUUGGAAUUAAUUAUAUAUCGCUAUUUAUCUUCAAAGAGUUACCGCAAAGGUCUGAAGUUCGAGCCUAGUGUUGAUAUUCUGAACAGUUGUUCUAAGAUGUUAAGACCAAUCUCAAGAUUUGUUUGGCUCACCUAUUUUAGGAUCUGGAAUCAAAUUGAAAUAGUCUGAUUUCGAUAAUAUUUGUUUGUUUUAUAGGAAUCGAAUUUUAAUUCUUAUUCUAUUCUGAAAUGAAAAUAAUCCAAUUCAUUAUGAUCCAAACUUAAACCAAAUAUUUUUGGAUGAAUUGUCAUCUCAUUUUUCAUGCUAAUAUUGCAAUUCAAUUUUAUUUUCCAAUUCCAUUCUAAUCAUAGACCAAACAUGCCUUCAAACUAUUUUCUGUUAAACUGAUACAUAUUUUUGGUAGUGUUACCAUAUAUAUUACAUGCCAUAUAUAUACCAUAUAAUAUAUAUAUAUAUAUACUACUAUUUAUAUUAUAUAUAUAUGGUAACAGGCAGUAUGAUAUAAUAUCCAAUUUAAGUUAUUGUUCCUUCAAGAUCCUUAUUUUGAUUCUUACGUUUAUUAUUUCAUAGCUAAUAUUUCCGCUUCAAAAGUUAUUAUUUCAUAGCUAAUUUAAAUUAUUAGACCCCUCAUUCCUACAUAAGAUGUAGGGACUAUCAUUAUUUAGAAUAGUUGGUUAUUUAUUUGUUUUAUUUUAUUUUUUUAGAUGUUGGUUUUGUUUAAAAGAGUUAUCCUACGGGUAUGAGUUGUUCUAUAGUGUGUUAAGACUAAAUUAAGACCACAUCAAUCCUAUUGGAUAGAUAUUUACAUCUCUUUUGUUUUAUCUUCAGUUAAUGUGCAUUGUAGCAUUACAUAGUAUUUCUAAAUUAUUGCAUAAUAAAUCAUUCUUUUGAGCUUAAUUUGAGUGCCAUAAAAAUUGGGAGUGCUCGAUCUUCAGGUGUGAACUUCAAAAAGAAAAAAGAAUAAUGAAAACGAUAGAAGAGAUAGCGAGUACAGUUCCAGCGUCCUUAGAUUUGACCGAUGAGAGCGAAAUCUUAACCAUAAGAUCAUGUCAUUAGAAGAUUAGUUUAUGCAAAUCGUGGUAUAACAACCUCCACACAACCAGAUUUCUAUUGUUCUUUAUAGAAAAUUUAUGACACAAUCAGAUCUCUACAAAAUCUGCAGAUUAGUAACUAAUGUGGUGGACCAAAGUUUACAUUGAAAGUGGUGGACCAAAGUUUACAUUGAAAAUUAAUUAAAUUAAGUUUAUGGGAGAGAUUCUCAUAGCUGGGAGAGUGGGGAUCAUCUACGCACACCCCCACCCCCUCGUACGUACGCGCAUAUGUUGCAAAAUUUACGCCUAAGGCUUUGGAGAUGCCCACGUGAUUUGUCGACCCACAUUAUGCACCUUUUUAUGGUUUUUUGGACCACGACACAUGACUCAGCAUAUGUCACGCGUAUAAUUAAAAAUUUAAAUAUCGUGACACGAGAUAGAACGGUACAAUAUAUAUAUAUAUAACACUAUAUCAAUAUAUGUUAGUUAUAAAAAAAUAUAUAUACUGACAUAUAACGGUAAAAUAUUCUAAUUAAUUAUUAUAUAUUUUUAUCAAAUAUUUUAAAAUUUAUUGAGAAAAUUAUAUAUUAAUUUUUUUAAAAAAAUUUUUGAACUGUGUUAUCGGCACGGAAGCUGUAUGUAAUGCGGCCCAUACCAACGGACAUUUAAAUUCUUACUUACAAUAGCCGAAAAAGUUUUUUCUAUAACAGAUAUGCUACGUACGUACGCAAUAUUAAUUUAUAUUUUGUGCUUUAUAAAGCUCGAUUAAUCUCAAUAUAAUAUAAUGAUUUAAUGAUCCAUAUAAAAUUCAUACUUUGAGCAGUGAAAAUUAAGUCAAAGAGUUCGAAGUUUAAUUAAAAGGUUUAGAAAGAAAAGAUUUUGUUUGCAUACCGUUUUGCAAAAUAGAAUAUCUUUAUGAAAUAUAUGUUACUUAGAUGAUUUUCUCCGGGCACAAAAUGAGAUUUGAGAAAUUAUUGUAUGCAAAACCAUAAAUUUAUCUUACAGCAUAUAUAGCCUUUAAGUUCAAAUUCAGAUGACUCAAAUUAAAUAAAAUAAAAAAACCUAUUAAAUAUAACUAUAACAUAUACUGUAAAAAUAAUGAUUUUUACAAUGUUGACAUGUUUUUUUUUCUUUUGAGUAAUAACCCCCAGGGACUUUUAUUCAAGAAAAAAUAAUGUGGGCAUGUUUGGUGUUGUAGGUGAUCAUGUAAUGACUUGUAUUUAGAUAUUAUGUUAACUAUCUUUAUGGUUCAAGGGCCCUGUGUAUAUAUUGCUGCUCAUGCAAUAAUUUACACACAAACACAAAGAGAGAGAGAGGAUAAUAUAUGGAGUUGGUUACAGUAGAGGUGUAGCAGGAUGUCAUGUGAUAUGCUGGGGCUCUCAUGAGUGUGGAGAGAGAGAUAGAGAGAGAGAAAGAGAGAGAUCAUGGGUUAGAGAGUGAGAGAGCAAUGUCUCAUUACUUCCAUGUUGGUGGUUUAUCUCCACCAUAAUGUAUGUGUGGUACUUGUUCAUCUGUCUACCUCUUAUCUUAAUUACCUUCUCUCUCACUCUCUCUUCUCUUACAUUUUCAUUUCUCCUGCCAAUGUGUUUGCAUCUCCUCUUCCUUUCAUAAACCAUCUCCACCCUUUCCAGAUAAGUAUUAUAUAAAUCAGUUUAUAGUUAUUAAAAAAAAUGUUUACAUAUAUAUCUUAGUUAGUUCUAACACUUAAAUAUAAGCAUAUUCCUAUUUCUUAUUUUUUUUCAAAAGAAUUUCGGUACCAGUGGCAUAGGCUCUUGUCGAGAGUUUGUAGGUGGAGUGUGACAUGUUGUGUACUAUGUCAUGCCAAUAUAUGCCGAUAAUAAAAAUACCUGUUCAUCUGCCGACAAAUUAUGUUGAUAUUUUAUGGCAUAAAAUAUUUAUUUUUUACACCAGUAUAUUCUAAUUAGUUAUGCACUUUGUUAAAAUAGUUAUUUGCUAUUUCAAAAACAGAGUAUGUUGAGAUGCUGAAAUAUAGGCACUUAAAACCUGGUUUCUUCGUCAUGAGCUUCAGUGCAUGCAUGUACCAAAAACUUAAGUAAUUAAAUUAACUAGCUAAUUAAUAUAAGUACCAAUUUAGCUCCAAGUGUUUCAAGAAGCGCACUUCAACUUUAUUUUAGGGCACAAUAUGACUUCUCAAGAAAGAAAAGGAUAGCAAAAUAAUAAGUGUUUAAUAUUUAAAGUGUAGUCAUUUUCAAGUUAAAAAUUUUAAUUUGACGCAGACAUUUAACCAUUGUCGGCAAAUUAAGAUCAGAGGCUCAAGCAUGGCUUUAGGGAUCGAUUAAUCAACAAUAUUAAUCAUUAAUUUGUAGGUAAAGUAGAGGCAAAAGGGAGGUGUUUGAAAUGUGUGACAUAAUUCAUUAAGAGUGUCACGUUCCUAAUUAAUCUAUUAAUAAGACCGUAGAGCUAAUUAUAAGCUAGCCGUACGUGUUAUCUUUCGGUCCAUUUUGUGAUUGCAUUUGCGUGUCCCACAAAAAUCUGAUCACCAAUCACUUACCGAUUCGAUUCAUUGCAUGCGAUUCUAUGAUUGCUAAACCAGUUUUGGCAUAUAUUGCGUACGUAUGUACGUAGCUAGGUAUUAUUUUUUCCAACUAAAAUGAUUAGGUUUCAUAAAUCUGAUCUGUCUUUUUAAAUUGAUUUGUACGCGAUUGAUUCUGUAGUAACAAUAAAUAACAAUAUAUAUAUAUAUAUAUGUAUUCAUGAUCUCGCUGCUUGCACAGGGUGGGAGGCGUGGACAAAGCGUGUGGAGAGACGUGGCCAUACCACAAUUGCAUAUAUAUGAGCCGAGACACAAUAUUGAGCUCUCAACGUUUCCUUAGAACCCUCCACACAUCUACACAAGUGCCAUCUCUCUUUGGUCCCCCCUAAACCAAAAUACCCACGCGAGCUUCUUAACUCUCUCUCUCUCUCUCUCUCUAGAUCUCUCUCUCUCUUGAGUAUCUUUGCAUUGCUUUUCUCACUCUAUUUAAGGUAAAUAUAUGUAGAGAGAAUGAGGAGAUAAUCUAAGAGAGAGAGAGAGAGAGAGAGAGAGAGAGAGAGAGAGAGAGAGAAGGAGAGGGAAUUGUAAUAGAGUGGAGGCAUUUGGGAGCUUGGUAGGAAUUUUUCCACUGGGGUCAGGUACUAAUUAAUCCUACAUUUUAUAUGUUGAGCAUAAACAUUAAUAAUACUAUCUUUUUAAUUAAUUGAUAGCUUAAAUUUUUUUACGAUACGUGGUUGUUUCUGUUAAUUAUUUUAAUAUGAUGUCAGAACAAGAGAUUUUGAGUUCGAAUCCCAUUCGACUUGUUAUCCAUUAUAGUGGAAGCUUUUGGAGGUAACUGAUUAUUUCGUUUUUUUUUUUUACAUUAUUUUGUUUAAUUCCAUGCAUAUAAUAACCCUAAAUUUUAAUGACCAUGUUUGUGUCGUAAAGAUUAAUUUUCCAUCCUUUUCGACUAAAUUGAUUUUUCAUUUUUUUAGAUACUUUAGAUACUAUGGUAUCAGAGAAUCUAGUCCUAAUUAAUUAAUUAGCCCACUUCUACAUUAUUUUAUAUAACAUUUUUAUUUAUAAAAAUAAGAUAAAAAGAUAGUAAGAAUAUGCGUAGAGGAGUCGUGAUAAUGCGCACUACAACAGAAUUAGGUUAUAGGGAUACAUGUUUGGGACACUUUUGAGUAAGUGUUCCAUUUAUACUAAAACUUAAAAACGCAUAUACUAAUACCUAAAUAUAAAGCCCAAUCCAACCAAAAAUAAAAGAUUACUCUACUCAACCCACCACACCCAGUCCAUUUGGUCCGAUUACAAACAGAAAAGAAAAAAAAAAGAAAAAUCAAUUACCAUCUUCUCUUCUCUCUUCACUCAAUCCACUGAAAUUCUAGACGAAGAGCCUUUACUGUCGUCCUCCUCCGCCACCGCAGCCAACGAGAUAGAGUUUUGGCGGUUGCUAAAUGCUUAAAUAAGUGUUGGUAAAUUAGUAGCACUCUUUUAGGUUAUAGCGACACUCUUUAACUGUCACUAUAUACCUAGCGACCCCACAUAUAGCAACACUUUUUAAAAGUGUCGGUAAUUUUAGCUAGUAGCACUUUUUUGACAUGUGCCUAUAUUUAAAAGUGUCGCUAUAGACCGUUUUUGUUGUAGUAGCGGUAGAUUUGACUCGGACGUUGGUCCAAAAACAUAGAGAUGUAUUGUAUGCUGGUGCAUUGUCAUCGUCAAUAAGGAGUAAAAAUUAAACUCUUUUUUUAGUGGGCACAUAUGUUCAAAUCCCCAUCUCCCCCCCCCCUAUAUUCAUUUUUUGUCACCUACAAAAACGAGUCAACUAAUUUGUACUUUUAACUGACCGUCCCUAGAGCAAGUGACAAAGGGCUCGGUGGUUAGUACCGGAGACCCAAGUUCGAAUCCUAAUUAAUUCACAUUUUCAGUUAAGUUUAUUUCUAAAUGAAAUAAAUGAAACGGAUAGCGUGCUACCUAUCUCUCUCAAAAAAAAAAAAAAAAAAAAAAAGUUGUACCUUUCCUAGCUUUGCUCCUUGUAUUAGCCAUCACACUAAUUAAGGAGAUAAACAUAGGCAUCUUUAAAUUUUAAUAUUGGUCGAUAAAGAUUUGACCAAAUUCAUUGAAUUUGAUAAUUAACUUGUUUUAUGAAAAAUUAAUGGCUAUUACAUGAAUCAGCUGAAACUAUAGUCAAUUUGUUUUAAGCUCCAAUUUAUUUAGGGCUUCUAUAUAUACCCAAUUUAGCUAUAUGAACAUCAAGAGUUUAUAUAUUAGUUAAAAAAAGAUACUUUAUUUAUGUAGAACAAAUUAAUCAACAAUUAUAUAUGUUACUACUAUAUCACAUGGAAUAACGCACCCUCUUGGUCAUGCUGUAAAACACGUAUGUUGUACGUAUCGAACGAGCCACGCCUACAAUUGUGCUUUGUUUUCACCUACCAACUUGUAUAUAUUGAUAACGUUGUGAUCUCAAUCUCCUCUUCUUGUUCAAGGUUACUAGAGAUCAAAACACAGCUGCAACCAAUGGACUCGGACCCACCACUUCUCUCCACGUACCGCGCUCUCUUCGACGCCCGCGAUCGCGAACGGAUCGAUCCCGAUGCGAUCGCCUUGACCGCAGCAUCGGACGAGUGUGAGCUUCCCCUCAUCGAUCUCGACCGUCUAAACGUAGCUGGUCACGACGGUCGCGACGCGACGGAGAAGUGUAAGAGGGAGAUAGUGGAGGCUGCCUCUCAAUGGGGCUUCUUCCAGGUGGUGAACCACGGCGUGUCCAACGAGCUCAUCGCGAGGGUGAGGGAGGAGCAGGUGAGCGUGUUUCGGCGGCCGUUCGCGAAGAAGGCGACGGAGCAGCUUUUGGAUUUCGCCCCCGAUAGCUACCGGUGGGGGACGCCGACCGCCUCGUCACCUGACCAGUUGUCGUGGUCGGAGGCAUAUCAUAUUCCUCUGACGCCGUCGGCUGCGCCCGGUCCCACCGAGGGCGCAACCAGGUACCUGUUCUUGUGUCUGGAUUUUGCAUAACUCUGACGCACGCAUAUAAAAAUAUAAGUACUUUUUCAUAUAUUAGUGUACAGUAAUUUUCUGCUCUCUGCUCUGCUUACUGUCAAACUUGUUUAUUACAUACGGUAGAAACUAUUGCCUGGACCAAGUCCACAAUGUCAGCUUAAUUUGGACCACUUUGCGAUCUAGCUACUGCACAGUUUCCAAAUUUAAAGUCAUUUCACAUUAUUAUUCAACCAACAAUUUCUUCGACCAAAAAAACACGUUAUGUAUCGUUAAGAUUACUUCUUCGAUCGAGCACUAGUAAAUUAAGGGACAAUUAAUUAUGGACUAAUUAAUUAAGAAGGAAUGCAUUCUAAUACAGGCACAUAGUCGAGGAGUUUUCGACGGCGAUGUCGCGAUUAGCGCAUAAGCUCGCAGGUAUACUCGCGGAGGGAUUAGGGGAGGGGGAUCAGGGAUACAUAAAGGAGAAGUGCACGUGUAAUACGUGCUACUUACGGUUAAACCGAUAUCCACCAUGCCCGAUUCGUUGUGGGGCAUUUGGGUUAACCCCUCACACUGAUAGUGACUUUCUCACCAUCUUACACCAGGAUCAUGUUGGUGGGCUACAGCUUAUGCAGGGGAAGAGGUGGCUCACUGUUAAACCUAAUCCCCAUGCACUCAUCAUCAACAUUGGUGACCUGUUCCAGGUACUUAAUUAAUUAUAUAUAUAUGGUCUCAAAUAUAUAUGCAUGUUUAAUUAGUUAGUUAUCUCUUGUGAUCAUUAUGUGGUAACAUUUAAGAUGUUCUUUUUUUUUUUUGUCUGAAUCUAUAAAUAUAUAUGUAUGUAUAUAUGCAGGCAUGGAGUAAUAACAUGUACAAAAGUGUGGAGCACAGAGUGAUGUCCAACGCAAAGCUGGAGAGGUUCUCAGUGGCCUAUUUCUUGUGCCCCUCUUAUGACACUGUGAUACAGAGUUAUGCAGAGCCUGCUAUUUACAGGAAAUUUAGCUUUGGGGAAUAUAGAGAGCAAAUCAAAGAAGAUGUGCGAUUAAUGGGGCGUAAAAUCGGGCUUACAAGGUUCCUUGCUGUUCAAAGCUUGUGAUAGUAAUGAAAAAUUUAGAUAAAGCAAUUGCUUAAAAUGCAUGUGUUCCACCAUUUAACACCAUUUGUAUAUGCCGCGCGCUUGAUUAUUUUGGUGUUCAAAGUGAUUUAAAAUUGUGGGCAAAAUUCAACAAAAUCCGAGUCUACAAUAGUUGUUUGAAACAAUUAUAAGAUUUAUAUGGCUUAUUCUAACUUUCUAUCAGUUUCGAUGUUAAUACGUAUAUAAUUCUUAAACGAAACGGGUAUCAUGCUAUGCUACGUACUUUUUCUCAAAAAAAAUAUUUAGAGGCCACAUAUUGAUCGGGAUGGGCCUGUACUUAAAACUCGCUGUGGCAUGCGCGCGCCGUAACACUUUUUAACAUGUCUCUCUGCAUGGAUUUUGAAGCACCGACUCGCAUCUCAAAACAACUAAUGCUAAUCUUUUUUAAAAAAGAAGUAAAGUAACAUGUUACUGUUUCAUUCAAUUGGAAAAUAAAUGUAGCAAAAGAAUGAGACAACUGGGCCUUAGGAGCCAAAAUAAAAGGAUUUAUAAAUCGAUCACUAAAAUUCGAUCAAAAAAAAGCUACGUAGCACAAAAAGAGAGACAAAGGUUCCUAAACAAACAAAUGUUCAGUAACAAAAAUCAUGAUUGCCGAUGAAUUUAACGUUCUCAGGGAAAUAAGCUGUGACCUAUUUUAUUGAACAAAAAUUUAGUGGGACCAGUUUCCAACGUAAGACUGUCUUAUCUGUUAUUCGUUAGGUAAGAGACAUAAAAUUUAAAAUCUUAUAAACCGUAAUAAAGUGAUCUUAUAUUAAGGACUGCCCAUAAAAUUAAUAAUUUUUCCAUUUCAUCUAAUUUUUGUCAAUGUAUAUUUUUUUUAGACCAUCCAACAAAUUUUUCCUAAUUCGGAAAAGGAAAUACAAAGAGAGGAACAGAAUGAGAGAGAAAAAAAAUUACAAAGCAAAAACGCUCCCCAAUAUAUUAUUCAAGAGCAUUUCUCAUUUAUUAUUAUUAGUACCCCCACAGUCCCACACACGAUAAUGUGUGGCUAUUAUUUAUUUAACAAAUUGAGAUGCAUACAUACGUAUGCAUGUAGUACGUACGUCCCAUGCAUACAUAUACACCAUCUUCUCCUUCUUCUUCUUCUUUUACCACCUCUCCAUUACCACACCUCCCUCACUCUCUUAUACAUAUAUAUACUACUACCACCCUUCUCCGCGAAUACGGCAAUACUCCGGGCGCAUGCCGCACAUCGACGGUAGCCGCUCCGCCUUCCUCAUCAUCUCCUCCAUCGGCCCCCUGCAGGCGCCGCCGCCGCCUCCUCCUUCUCCUCCCUCUCCUCCCUCCCCCUCCUCCUCCAUCAUCUCCUUCAUCAUCUCCUUUACCGCCUCACACCGACACCCCUCGCUCACCGCCCUCAGCUCCCGGCAGCACUUCUCCUUCAUGCUCAUCUGGUUCGUCGUUGCCGACAUCGCCAACACGCCACGCCCGAACUUUUCUCCCCCACCGCCACUCAUGCUCUUCAUGAAAUUCUUGCACGGUUGCAUCGGGCACUGCUGCACCUCCCGUCGGCACCGCUCGGACAGGUUCUCGUCACCGUCAAACUCGUCCCUUGCGCCGUAGAAGUAGGCAUCGGUCGUGAGAGUGGAUGCGAGGAUUGCGAGAAGGGCGGCGAUGGCGGUGAGCUUAAGAGUGUUUGAGGUCGCCAUAGGUGAUGGUGUGUAUGAAGUUCUUAGGUAUGUAAUGGUAUGGGGGGAGAUGAGGAAGGUGUGGAGGGGUGUAUAUAUAUACAGAGGAGAGGUAGGGGAUGGGUUAAUUGGUGUGGAGGGUUUACCACAUGACGACUAAUUAAUGCUUUGGGUAUAACCUAUUUAAUAAUUCACAGCUCUCUUAUUGAAGAAUAUAUAUUGUUUUAACAUUAUUAAUGUGUUAACAAAUCAAUAUUAUAAAUUAUAUGAAUAAAUUAAUAAUAAUUCUCUAAUUCAUAAGGAUCAAUAUAUUAACAAUAUAUAAGGAGAAUUAUUUAUUAAACACCUCCUAUAUUUGUUGACAUAUUGCUUUACACUACAAAAGCUUAUCUAUAUAGCCUAGUUUAAAUGUCAGGAUAAGUUAUAUAUAUAUCUAGCUAAUAAUAUGUUUCACGAUAUAAAUUUUUGUUUUUGUUUUACCUGCGUUUACUAUAAUUUUAUCAGGACAUUGUGUUCCACUUUUAACAUCAUUCAUUUUAUUCUUAGAAAAAAUAACAAGGAAGGUAAUUAAAUUUAGCAUACCAUUAUAGAUCAAAUCAUGCACCUAUAUAUGCAAGCACUUUAUGAUCUAUUUACCAUAUAUUAUAAUUAUGUAAUUGAAAAAAAAACAUUUGUGCAUCCAAACAGAUUAAUUCUAGGUGGUGCAUUAACAUAAAAGCAUAUUGAAAAACCGCUAAAGAAACAGCUAGCCUUGGCUACUAGCUAGUGUACUCUUCCUUAAAGGGGGCUUUGCUUUGGUGGAGAGCGAGGAGAACGCAUGAAGAGAUCAGGGUUACACGUGAAGGUCGAGGUGGGAGAUGCAUGCAUGGGGACGAAGACGAAUGAAGGGUGUGUUUGGAGCUUUGCUAACCGGAACAUGCAUGCGUGGUGUGUUGGUAAGAGAGAGGGGACACAUCACGCAUGGGAUGAUAUGGUUUUUCAUGUGAUGAGUACAAAUACACUCUAGCUGCCGCGGCUAUAUUAAUAUACAUUUAUUAUUAUUAUUAUUAUUAUCAUCAUUGUCUAUCGUAUUGGCUCAAAUCCAUUUACAUGUUAGGUCUAUCAUGUGGCAUCUUGCUGUUCAAUCUCUUAUGGAUUAUAGUUUCACUCAACUUAUUAGUCCUUUAGGUUUAUUAUCACGGGGGCAAAAAGUUAGAUAUCUUGUGGAUCGUAGUUUCACUCAGCUUAUUAGUUUUCUGAGUCUAUUAUUACGGGGGCAAAAAAUUAGAUCUAUUGUGGACCGUAGUCGGCUAGGAAGUUAAUUAGAUCUCUUGCGGAUCGUAGUUCCGCUUAAUUUAUUAGUUUUCUAGAUCUAUUAUCAUGGGGGCAGAAAAUUUGAUCUCUUGUGGAUCGUAAUCCCACUUAAUUUAUUAGUCUUCUUGGUCUAUUAUCACGAAGGCAGAAAGUUAGACCUAUUCUAAUCUAACACCCGUAUUGUUAAUGCAGCAUGUGAGAAUCGAAUUCGCACCACUAGCUUUGAUACUACUGUCGUAUCAUUGGCACUAACCAUUAAUCCCAAAAGCUUGAACCGUUAAAAAUACAUAACCAAUUUACUUAAAGUGUAUAAAUAUGGUACCCAUGGGUUUCGAUUAUAACUCGUUUAACCAAUCUCAUGCCACUUCAAAUAUGACUCGGUCCACCCAGUUUCACACCAUUUAAGCCAACAAAAAAUGCUGUAAAAAUUUUAAUUAAAUGUACAUAUGAAGAAAAUUUAAUUAUAUUCUACUCCACUGUAUUAUACUAUUUUUUUUUUCGAAUAUAUAUUUUAUUACUAUAUUUUAUCAAUCUCUGCACAGUAUUUUAGAUAUAAUUUUGUUUUUUUACAUAUACUAUUUUCUUUUCUCAUAGAUAUUACUAAACUAUUUUUAUCUCAACAAUCACUACAAUACUAUUAACAAAAUCUAUUUUUUAAACAAAAUUUAAUAAAUUUAUUAAGAGUCACCGACUAAAUAGUAGAAAUAAUAUAAAAUAAAAUUUCAAAAUAGGCUCAUUGAAAAUUUUUAUCAAAUUAUUUUCUAUUAUUUAUAUAUAUUUUGUUAUUUUUUACAUCAAAAUGAGCUAUAUAUAUACUCUGCGACUUUUAACCAAUAUCUCUUAGGCUUCAUUUGGGAUUGCGGGAAGAUUGCGUUAUGUAUGGUGAGAAAGUACGAUAGGAAAAUACCCAAUUUCUUUUCGUAUGUAAUAUUACGUUCCGCAUAUAACAAUGAUGAGUCGUUAUGAUAUAUUUUUCCGAUCCCAUUGGAGAAUACAGAAGCAUAUUCUUAUAUGCUUUUAUUUCAAUUCCAUUUUAACUAAUAACGCAGGAUAAGCCUCAAUACCAAACUAAUUAAGUCUUCAUAGUUUUCAUAUAAAAUAAUGAGUUUUUUUUUAUAGUGUAGAAAUUGAGAAAAAAAUAAUUUAGUACAGGAAUUAUGAGUUUUAACCGGUAUCUCUUAAUAGUUUUCAUAUAAAUUAUGAAUUUAUUUUUUAUAGUGUAGGAAUUGAGGAAAAAAAUAAUUGAGUAGUGUCUAAUCUGUAAAUGUAACGAUCUAACCUGUUAACAAUAUUAACUCGCUGGGCCUAAAUUACCGGCUUAAAAUAUUUAAAUCUAGUUAUUAUUAUUAGUACGUUCGUCACUUAUAAACUCAUCCUACUCUCACAUAUCGGAUUAUCCAAUAUGUUAAUCUGAUAUGGGAUUACUGGGAUGUCACGUACUAUCCUCGCUUAGGUGCUAACGUUUUCGUUAGGCUGACCUAAUCACACACAUAGUUCCAGAUUCACCAAACGAUCGAUAUGAGAUCUAUUUUAUAUUUUCUGCUGGUAAUUUGGGUCUAAUACCAAAUAUAACGAUUCGACUUGUUAGUAAUAAUAACUGGGUUUAAACAUCUUGCACCUACGAUUUGGGCUAAACGAGUUAUUAUUGCUAAAAGAUUAGAUCGUUACAGCAAAAUAUUAAUUAAGCCUAUGGAAAAAGUAAAAGUAAUAAUAUAUAGUU
rnacentral:lncRNA from 1 species